rnacentral:rRNA from 1 species
UACGUAGGGACCAAGCGUUGUUCGGAUUUACUGGGCGUAAAGGGCGCGUAGGCGGCAAUUCAAGUCAUCUGUGAAAUCUCCGGGCUUAACCCGGAACGGUCAGAUGAUACUGCUUUGCUAGAGUGCGGAAGGGGCAAUCGGAAUUCUUGGUGUAGCGGUGAAAUGCGUAGAUAUCAAGAGGAACACCUGCGGCGAAGGCGGGUUGCUGGGCUGACACUGACGCUGAGGCGCGAAAGCCAGGGGAGCGAGCGGG